GGGUUGUGAGGUUAAGCGACUAAGCGUACACGGUGGAUGCCCUGGCAGUCAGAGGCGAUGAAGGACGUGCUAAUCUGCGAUAAGCGUCGGUAAGGUGAUAUGAACCGUUAUAACCGGCGAUUUCCGAAUGGGGAAACCCAGUGUGAUUCGUCACACUAUCAUUAACUGAAUCCAUAGGUUAAUGAGGCGAACCGGGGGAACUGAAACAUCUAAGUACCCCGAGGAAAAGAAAUCAACCGAGAUUCCCCCCAGUAGCGGCGAGCGAACGGGGAGCAGCCCAGAGCCUGAAUCAGUGUGUGUGUUAGUGGAAGCGUCUGGAAAGGCGCGCGAUACAGGGUGACAGCCCCGUACACAAAAAUGCACAUGCUGUGAGCUCGAUGAGUAGGGCGGGACACGUGGUAUCCUGUCUGAAUAUGGGGGGACCAUCCUCCAAGGCUAAAUACUCCUGACUGACCGAUAGUGAACCAGUACCGUGAGGGAAAGGCGAAAAGAACCCCGGCGAGGGAGUGAAAAGAACCUGAAACCGUGUACGUACAAGCAGUGGGAGCACGCUUAGGCGUGUGACUGCGUACCUUUUGUAUAAUGGGUCAGCGACUUAUAUUCUGUAGCAAGGUUAACCGAAUAGGGGAGCCGAAGGGAAACCGAGUCUUAACUGGGCGUUAAGUUGCAGGGUAUAGACCCGAAACCCGGUGAUCUAGCCAUGGGCAGGUUGAAGGUUGGGUAACACUAACUGGAGGACCGAACCGACUAAUGUUGAAAAAUUAGCGGAUGACUUGUGGCUGGGGGUGAAAGGCCAAUCAAACCGGGAGAUAGCUGGUUCUCCCCGAAAGCUAUUUAGGUAGCGCCUCGUGAAUUCAUCUCCGGGGGUAGAGCACUGUUUCGGCAAGGGGGUCAUCCCGACUUACCAACCCGAUGCAAACUGCGAAUACCGGAGAAUGUUAUCACGGGAGACACACGGCGGGUGCUAACGUCCGUCGUGAAGAGGGAAACAACCCAGACCGCCAGCUAAGGUCCCAAAGUCAUGGUUAAGUGGGAAACGAUGUGGGAAGGCCCAGACAGCCAGGAUGUUGGCUUAGAAGCAGCCAUCAUUUAAAGAAAGCGUAAUAGCUCACUGGUCGAGUCGGCCUGCGCGGAAGAUGUAACGGGGCUAAACCAUGCACCGAAGCUGCGGCAGCGACGCUUAUGCGUUGUUGGGUAGGGGAGCGUUCUGUAAGCCUGUGAAGGUGUGCUGUGAGGCAUGCUGGAGGUAUCAGAAGUGCGAAUGCUGACAUAAGUAACGAUAAAGCGGGUGAAAAGCCCGCUCGCCGGAAGACCAAGGGUUCCUGUCCAACGUUAAUCGGGGCAGGGUGAGUCGACCCCUAAGGCGAGGCCGAAAGGCGUAGUCGAUGGGAAACAGGUUAAUAUUCCUGUACUUGGUGUUACUGCGAAGGGGGGACGGAGAAGGCUAUGUUGGCCGGGCGACGGUUGUCCCGGUUUAAGCGUGUAGGCUGGUUUUCCAGGCAAAUCCGGAAAAUCAAGGCUGAGGCGUGAUGACGAGGCACUACGGUGCUGAAGCAACAAAUGCCCUGCUUCCAGGAAAAGCCUCUAAGCAUCAGGUAACAUCAAAUCGUACCCCAAACCGACACAGGUGGUCAGGUAGAGAAUACCAAGGCGCUUGAGAGAACUCGGGUGAAGGAACUAGGCAAAAUGGUGCCGUAACUUCGGGAGAAGGCACGCUGAUAUGUAGGUGAAGUCCCUCGCGGAUGGAGCUGAAAUCAGUCGAAGAUACCAGCUGGCUGCAACUGUUUAUUAAAAAACACAGCACUGUGCAAACACGAAAGUGGACGUAUACGGUGUGACGCCUGCCCGGUGCCGGAAGGUUAAUUGAUGGGGUCAGCGCAAGCGAAGCUCUUGAUCGAAGCCCCGGUAAACGGCGGCCGUAACUAUAACGGUCCUAAGGUAGCGAAAUUCCUUGUCGGGUAAGUUCCGACCUGCACGAAUGGCGUAAUGAUGGCCAGGCUGUCUCCACCCGAGACUCAGUGAAAUUGAACUCGCUGUGAAGAUGCAGUGUACCCGCGGCAAGACGGAAAGACCCCGUGAACCUUUACUAUAGCUUGACACUGAACAUUGAGCCUUGAUGUGUAGGAUAGGUGGGAGGCUUAGAAGUGUGGACGCCAGUCUGCAUGGAGCCGACCUUGAAAUACCACCCUUUAAUGUUUGAUGUUCUAACGUUGACCCGUAAUCCGGGUUGCGGACAGUGUCUGGUGGGUAGUUUGACUGGGGCGGUCUCCUCCUAAAGAGUAACGGAGGAGCACGAAGGUUGGCUAAUCCCUGGUCGGACAUCAGGAGGUUAGUGCAAUGGCAUAAGCCAGCUUGACUGCGAGCGUGACGGCGCGAGCAGGUGCGAAAGCAGGUCAUAGUGAUCCGGUGGUUCUGAAUGGAAGGGCCAUCGCUCAACGGAUAAAAGGUACUCCGGGGAUAACAGGCUGAUACCGCCCAAGAGUUCAUAUCGACGGCGGUGUUUGGCACCUCGAUGUCGGCUCAUCACAUCCUGGGGCUGAAGUAGGUCCCAAGGGUAUGGCUGUUCGCCAUUUAAAGUGGUACGCGAGCUGGGUUUAGAACGUCGUGAGACAGUUCGGUCCCUAUCUGCCGUGGGCGCUGGAGAACUGAGGGGGGCUGCUCCUAGUACGAGAGGACCGGAGUGGACGCAUCACUGGUGUUCGGGUUGUCAUGCCAAUGGCACUGCCCGGUAGCUAAAUGCGGAAGAGAUAAGUGCUGAAAGCAUCUAAGCACGAAACUUGCCCCGAGAUGAGUUCUCCCUGACUCCUUGAGAGUCCUGAAGGAACGUUGAAGACGACGACGUUGAUAGGCCGGGUGUGUAAGCGCAGCGAUGCGUUGAGCUAACCGGUACUAAUGAACCGUGAGGCUUAACCUUACAACGCCGAAGCUGUU
rnacentral:rRNA from 1 species